rnacentral:rRNA from 1 species
AACGAACGCUGGCGGCAUGCCUAACACAUGCAAGUCGAACGAGACCUUCGGGUCUAGUGGCGCACGGGUGCGUAACGCGUGGGAAUCUGCCCUUCGGUUGGGAAUAACUGAGAGAAAUUUCAGCUAAUACCUUAUAAUGUCUUCGGACCAAAGAUUUAUCGCCGAGGGAUGAGCCCGCGUAGGAUUAGGUAGUUGGUGGGGUAAUGGCCUACCAAGCCGACGAUCCUUAGCUGGUCUGAGAGGAUGAUCAGCCACACUGGGACUGAGACACGGCCCAGACUCCUACGGGAGGUAGCAGUGGGGAAUAUUGGACAAUGGGCGAAAGCAUGAUCCAGCAAUGCCGCGUGAGUGAUGAAGGCCUUAGGGUUGUAAAGCUCUUUUACCCGGGAUGAUAAUGACAGUACCGGGAGAAUAAGCUCCGGCUAACUCCGUG